UACGUAGGGUGCGAGCGUUAAUCGGAAUUACUGGGCGUAAAGUGUGCGCAGGCGGCCGCGCAAGUCGAGUGUGAAAGCCCCGAGCUUAACUUGGGAACUGCGCUCGAAACUACGUGGCUGGAGUGUGGCAGAGGGAGGUGGAAUUCCACGUGUAGCGGUGAAAUGCGUAGAGAUGUGGAGGAACACCGAUGGCGAAGGCAGCCUCCUGGGCCAACACUGACGCUCAUGCACGAAAGCGUGGGGAGCAAACAGG
rnacentral:rRNA from 1 species